rfam:Xanthomonadaceae bacterium SCN 69-48 ABS98_C0304, whole genome shotgun sequence.
GUCAAACACUCUGGAGAGAGCGGUUGAAUCCGCCGCCGAAGGGGCACGAAACGCCGCCGCGUUUCCAAACUCUCAGGCAAAAGGACAGAGGGGCGCCC